ACCAGACUCCUACGGGAGGCAGCAGUGGGGAAUAUUGCACAAUGGGGGAAACCCUGAUGCAGCGACGCCGCGUGGGUGACGAAGUAUUUCGGUAUGUAAAGCCCUAUCAGCAGGGAAGAGGAUGACAGUACCUGACUAAGAAGCCCCGGCUAACUACGUGCCAGCAGCAGCGGCAAUACGUAGGUGGCAAGCGUUGUCCGGAUUUACUGGGUGUAAAGGGCGUGUAGCCGGGCUGACAAGUCAGAUGUGAAAUCCGGGGGCUCAACCCCCGAACUGCAUUUGAAACUGUUGGUCUUGAGUAUCGGAGAGGCAGGCGGAAUUCCUAGUGUAGCGGUGAAAUGCGUAUAUAUCAGGAGGAACACCUGCGGCGAAGGCGGCCUGCUGGACCGUGACUGACGUUGAGGCUCGAGAGCGUUGGGAGCAAACAGUAUUAGAUACCCCAGUAC
rnacentral:rRNA from 1 species